AUGGUACCCUAUUCCCUAUGGCACCCUGUUCCCUAUGGUACCCUGUUCCCUAUGGGCUCUAUUCCCCAUGGUACCCUGUUCCCUAUGGCACCCUGUUCCCUAUGGUACCCUGUUCCCUAUGGGCUCUAUUCCCCAUGGUACCCUAUUCCCCCCAUGGUACCCUAUUCCCCCAUGGUACCCUAUUCCCUAUGGUACCCUAUUACCCAUGGGACCCAAUCCCCUAUGGCGCCCUAUUCUCUAUGGGCUCUAUUCCCUAUGGUACCCUAUUCCCCCAUGGCGCCCUAUUCUCUAUGGGCUCUAUUCCCUAUGGUACCCUAUUCCCCAUGGUACCCUAUUCCCCCAUGGUACCCUAUUCCCCAUGAUACCCAAUCCCCUAUGGCACCCUAUUCCCUAUGGCACCCUAUUCCCUAUGGCACCCUAUUCCCUAUGGCACCCUAUUCCCCAUGGCACCCUAUUCCCUAUGGCACCCUAUUCCCUAUGGCACCCUAUUCCCUAUGGCACCCUAUUCCCUAUGGCACCCUAUUCCCCAUGGCACCCUAUUCCCUAUGGCACCCUAUUCCCUAUGGCACCCUAUUCCCCAUGGCACCCUAUUCCCUAUGGGCUCUAUUCCCUAUGGCACCCUAUUCCCCAUGGCACCCUAUUCCCCAUGGCACCCUAUUCCCCAUGGCACCCUAUUCCCCAUGGCACCCUAUUCCCCAUGGCACCCUAUUCCCCAUGGCACCCUAUUCCCCAUGGCACCCUAUUCCCUAUGGCACCCUAUUCCCCAUGGCGCCCUAUUCCCUAUGGCACCCUAUUCCCUAUGGCACCCUAUUCCCCAUGGCACCCUAUUCCCCAUGGCACCCUAUUCCCUAUGGUACCCUAUUCCCUAUGGCACCCUAUUCCCCAUGGCGCCCUAUUCCCUAUGGGCCCUAUUCCCUAUGGUACCCUAUUCCCUAUGGCACCCUAUUCCCUAUGGCACCCUAUUCCCCAUGGCACCCUAUUCCCCAUGGCACCCUAUUCCCUAUGGCACCCUAUUCCCCAUGGCACCCUAUUCCCCAUGGCACCCUAUUCCCUAUGGCACCCUAUUCCCCAUGGCGCCCUAUUCCCCAUGGCGCCCUAUUCCCUAUGGCGCCCUAUUCCCCAUGGCACCCUAUUCCCCAUGGGCUCUAUUCCCUAUGGUACCCUAUUCCCUAUGGCACCCUAUUCCCCAUGGCGCCCUAUUCCCUAUGGGCCCUAUUCCCUAUGGUACCCUAUUCCCUAUGGCACCCUAUUCCCUAUGGCACCCUAUUCCCUAUGGCACCCUAUUCCCCAUGGCACCCUAUUCCCUAUGGCACCCUAUUCCCCAUGGCACCCUAUUCCCUAUGGCACCCUAUUCCCCAUGGCACCCUAUUCCCCAUGGCACCCUAUUCCCUAUGGCACCCUAUUCCCCAUGGCGCCCUAUUCCCCAUGGCGCCCUAUUCCCUAUGGCACCCUAUUCCCCAUGGCACCCUAUUCCCCAUGGGCUCUAUUCCCUAUGGUACCCUAUUCCCUAUGGCACCCUAUUCCCCAUGGCGCCCUAUUCCCUAUGGGCCCUAUUCCCUAUGGUACCCUAUUCCCUAUGGCACCCUAUUCCCCAUGGCACCCUAUUCCCUAUGGCACCCUAUUCCCUAUGGCACCCUAUUCCCCAUGGCACCCUAUUCCCUAUGGGCUCUAUUCCCUAUGGCACCCUAUUCCCCAUGGCACCCUAUUCCCUAUGGGCUCUAUUCCCUAUGGCACCCUAUUCCCCAUGGCACCCUAUUCCCUAUGGCACCCUAUUCCCCAUGGCACCCUAUUCCCCAUGGCACCCUAUUCCCCAUGGCACCCUAUUCCCCAUGGCGCCCUAUUCCCUAUGGGCUCUAUUCCCUAUGGUACCCUAUUCCCUAUGGUACCCUAUUCCCUAUGGCACCCUAUUCCCUAUGGGCUCUAUUCCCUAUGGUACCCUAUUCCCUAUGGUACCCUAUUCCCUAUGGCACCCUAUUCCCUAUGGCACCCUAUUCCCUAUGGGCACUGGUCAAAAGUAGUGCACUUUCUGGUCCACCAGCCACAUUCUUUGGAUUUGUUAAAAUGAACUGCUUCCAGAUGCUCUAUGUGACCACCUGCCAAUGUGGCUGGUAA
rnacentral:lncRNA from 8 species